AGUCGAGCGAGAAAGGUUUUCGGACUGAGUAAAGCGGCGGACGGGUGAGUAACGCGUAGGAAUCUACCCAGUAGUGGGGGACAACUUAGGGAAACUUAAGCUAAUACCGCAUACGCCCUGAGGGGGAAAGCGGGGGAUCUUCGGACCUCGCGCUAUUGGAAGAGCCUGCGUUAGAUUAGCUAGUUGGUGGGGUAAAGGCUCACCAAGGCGACGAUCUAUAGCUGGUCUGAGAGGAUGAUCAGCCACACUGGGACUGAGACACGGCCCAGACUCCUACGGGAGGCAGCAGUGGGGAAUAUUGCGCAAUGGGCGAAAGCCUGACGCAGCCAUGCCGCGUGUGUGAAGAAGGCCUUCGGGUUGUAAAGCACUUUCAAUUGGGAAGAAGGGUUUAACGUUAAUAGCGUUGAAUCUUGACGUUACCUUUAGAAGAAGCACCGGCUAACUCCGUGCCAGCAGCCGCGGUAAUACGGAGGGUGCGAGCGUUAAUCGGAAUUACUGGGCGUAAAGCGCGCGUAGGCGGUUUGUUAAGUCGGAUGUGAAAUCCCCGGGCUCAACCUGGGAACUGCACCCGAUACUGGCCGACUUGAGUGCGAGAGAGGGAGGUAGAAUUCCAUGUGUAGCGGUGAAAUGCGUAGAUAUAUGGAGGAAUACCGGUGGCGAAGGCGGCCUCCUGGCUCGACACUGACGCUGAGGUGCGAAAGCGUGGGUAGCAAACAGGAUUAGAUACCCUGGUAGUCCACGCCGUAAACGAUGUCUACUAGCCGUUGGGGAACUUGAUUCUUUAGUGGCGCAGCUAACGCACUAAGUAGACCGCCUGGGGAGUACGGCCGCAAGGUUAAAACUCAAAUGAA
rnacentral:rRNA from 1 species